GUUCUUAUUAUUAUUGUUUUUUUUUUUUUUUUUUUUUUUUGCCUAGU
rnacentral:ribozyme from 1 species